UAGGGAAUAUUGCGCAAUGGGGGAAACCCUGACGCAGCCACGCCGCGUGAGUGAGGAAGGCCUUCGGGUUGUAAAGCUCUGUCGCCUGGGAAAAACGGCUAUCUGGGGAAAGUUCAGGUAGCGUGAUGGUACCAGGAGAGGAAGCACCGGCAAACUCUGUGCCAGCAGCCGCGGUAAUACAGAGGGUGCAAGCGUUGUUCGGAUUUACUGGGCGUAAAGCGUGCGUAGGCGGUAUUGAGAGUCGCGGGUGAAAUCCCAGGGCUUAACCCUGGAACUGCCUGCGAGACCUCAGUACUAGAGUGUGAGAGGGGAUGGUGGAAUGCCAAGUGUAGCGGUGAAAUGCGUAGAGAUUUGGCGGAACACCGGUGGCGAAGGCGACCAUCUGGCUCACAACUGACGCUCAGGCACGAAAGCGUGGGGAGCAAACAGGAUUAGAUACCCCCGUAGUCC
rnacentral:rRNA from 1 species